rnacentral:rRNA from 1 species
GAUGAACGCUGGCGGCGUGCCUAAUACAUGCAAGUCGAGCGAACAGACGAGGAGCUUGCUCCUCUGACGUUAGCGGCGGACGGGUGAGUAACACGUGGAUAACCUACCUAUAAGACUGGGAUAACUUCGGGAAACCGGAGCUAAUACCGGAUAAUAUAUUGAACCGCAUGGUUCAAUAGUGAAAGACGGUUUUGCUGUCACUUAUAGAUGGAUCCGCGCCGCAUGAGCUAGUUGGUAAGGUAACGGCUUACCAAGGCAACGAUGCGUAGCCGACCUGAGAGGGUGAUCGGCCACACUGGAACUGAGACACGGUCCAGACUCCUACGGGAGGCAGCAGUAGGGAAUCUUCCGCAAUGGGCGAAAGCCUGACGGAGCAACGCCGCGUGAGUGAUGAAGGUCUUCGGAUCGUAAAACUCUGUUAUUAGGGAAGAACAUAUGUGUAAGUAACUGUGCACAUCUUGACGGUACCUAAUCAGAAAGCCACGGCUAACUACGUG